rnacentral:lncRNA from 1 species
GUGGGAUCGAUAACUCGGCUUUCUUGAAGGCCACUAUAUUUCUUAGUAGACCACGUAAACUUGCGUGUGCACUUGGGUGCUAUCACCCGGUGUCACAAUGUAAGAACUAACGAGUAAAACUCGAGGUUAAAAAUAGAUAAGAUAUCUAAUAGGAGAAAAACUCUAUCUCUGAAUACAAGUAAGACAUAGUCUAGAUAAGAAAAAGAUAGAAGUCAACUCCGAAUGCAUAGAUCAAUCGCUACCUCGAAUGGGCUCCAUGUAUCGCCUGAAUCAACUAUUCAUACGGCACACUCGUACCUGGUUGUGCACAAAAAUAGCAUAUAGGAAUGAGUACGGUCCACUUGUACUCAUAGGUAUCAUAAGCCGACUGAGUAAAGUAGAAAAUAAAGCAUAUAAACAAAAAAUAUGGGCACGUUAAAUGCAAUCAAAAAAUGUCCCAAACGAUAGACCACACCGUCUCCACUAGUCUCCACUAACAGUUUAAUUAUACAUACACAUAAAAAAAUACAUAUAGAUAAAAGAAUAAAAAAUAUAAACGUACAUCAAAUAAAAGUAUAUGAAGAUAUAACAGAUGGUAGAUAUCAAGUCAAAGAUAGAAAUUCUAUCACAACAUAAGUACAAUAUAUGAAGUGCAAUAAAAAUGAUAAUGAUGAUGAUGAUAAUGCCUGAGGUCAUCCCACAACCUCUGUAUACACCUACGGAGCUAAAGCUUUCAAAGGUAGGACCCAUGGGGGGAUUGUGAAAUCGUAUACAACCAAUAUCUAUAUCUCUUCUCCAGCACAUACAAAGAAAGAGGGUUUUAAAGAUGUCACAUUUUCUGUAAGAAAAAGUUAGUGUUUUAGUAUUUCCACAAAGUAACCAAUGUUUCUUCAAUGAAUAUGAUAUGACAGUGUAAUGUUCAUAACCAAUAAAACUGAGUAUAUCCAAUAUCUAACCAAUAUACCAACCAUGUGAGGCAGAAAUCCUCUCGAAUUAAUCAAUCAUCUAUGAUCCAAUGUAAUCCAAAAACCACUGAGUGAAACAUGCAAAAAAUGUCAUUGAGACCACAUAAAUCCCAAAACCUAGGCUUUUCCACCAAAAAGAGUACAACUAAACAUACAAAUAUAAGACAUAUAAGACCCAUAUGGUCUUACAUAACAAAUAAUGUCUCAAAACCACCAAAUAUUAUCCAUAUAGGCUCCCACACAGGUGCAUGAAUCACCUAAAUGCAUUUUUCAUGAUAAAUCCCAUACCCAUAGCAUGCUUAUACAUUAUUAUUAACCACCCAACUUAUUUUGAAGAAAGUUAAGUCUUAACCUACCUCAAAAGCAAAAAAUCAAUCAAAAACCCCUUCAACACGGCGCUUUUCCACCACAAAUGAAUCUAGAACCAUCUAAAACAUUCAAAUAUAGAAACUAUGCAUAAAAGAAAGCCAAUGAUAUUCAUGUUGUCUAACUUCGAAUUGGAGUCAAAAUAGAUCUCCAAAAUGGAUUUUAGAAAAAGAAGGGUAAAAUUGAAAGUUUAGUCCAAAAAUAUAUCUCCCAUGAUUAAAGGAACUCAUACCGGAAAACUCAAGUGAAAACGGAUUGAAAUUGGGGUUUAAAUCGAAGAAAUAUAAUUUUUUGACCUUCCGAGCCAAAAUUCCCAAAUUUCACUUUUAAAUCCACAGUUAAACAAGAUUUAAAUAAUAAAGUUGAAGAAAAUAGUUGAAAUAGGUGGUUUGGAGAUUACACAAACUUAGACAUGGAAUAAAUUUCUAAAAAGCUCAAAAACUAAGCCCCAAGUCUUAAAAAUAGUGAAAAGGAAAAAAAAAGGUAUUUAAAUGAUCCAGGCAUCGCAUACAUGAUGACACUAUCCAUUAUGCGACUAGGUGCUGCAUACAUGAUACCUUUCCUGUGAACAGGCAUCGCAUAAGAGGCCUUGUUGUUUACUAUGUGAUGGUCGCAUAUGCGACACAAAAGUCGAGUACGCAAAAUAGAAGUCGUGUAAGUGAUAUUUUGUUGCAUGGCUGGGUCACUUAAGUGACAAAAAUGUUCCUUAAACGAGUGCACCAGCUAGAGACUCGGAGAACAUCAAGCCUCUGUGACCCUUCGAGAUCCGUCUAGAAUCCCGAGAAUGCAAAUGAACUUUUCUACCCUAUCAAAAUCAAAAAUCCGAACUCAAUGGCGAUAUCAAAUUUUUUUUAAAAAAUAUCAUUUUUAUUAAGUUGACUUUUGAAACACAAAUUCACAAUUUUCCAAACUAAGGGUCAAAAUGAGAUAUAAGAGCCAUAAAAUCAAACCAACCAUGUUACCAACCUAAAAUUGACGUUCUGGGACUACUGGACCAGUUUAUUUUUCAAUCCAACACAUAGAUCAAUAAAUGUUCACCGAAGUAAACUAUAAGGUAUUUUAAGACAUCAAAAAUCAUAAUUUCACAUAGUUUACACCAAAAUGCAUUUGGAACCAUGCCAAAAAUACCCUUACCCCAAAAAUACCACCAAGCAACCAUAGGGAGGGGUAAAAUAAUCAAAUCACAUAGAAAUGAAUAUUUCACAAAAUGAAGUUGUUACAUCAUCUACUAAUAAAAAUCUAGUUCGUCCACGAACUAAAGGUCAAGGAAAUACCUGAAUCGGAAAAAAGAUGGGGUUAACUACUACACAUAUCAGAAUCAACCUCCCAAUUAUCCUUAUAUACAAGUCGAUGACUCCACUGGACCUUAACAACUGGAAUAAUUCUAGAACGCAACUAUCUAACAUCCCUGUCUAAAAUGGAGACGGGUUUCUAAACAAAAGACAACCUCAUCUCACUAAAUUAAAUCUCAUCGAAUAACAUAAGACUCAUUCGAAAUGUAAUAAUAAAGAAUAAAAAAUGAAAAACUAAGUGAACAACUGAUAAAUCUGGGGGGGAGUCAAAUCAUAAGCCACAUCACCAAUAGCUUGAAGGAUUCCAAAAGGUCCAAUAUACAUGGGGUUAUACUUGCUCCUGUUUGCAAACCACAACACGCCCUUCGUGGGUGACACACAAAGGAAGACAUAAUCACUAACAAUGAACCCUAAGUCAUGAAACAUACGAUCCUCAUAACAUUUUUGCCUACUGUGAGCCGUUUGAAAUUUAUCCUAAAUGACUUAAACUUUAUCCAAAGACUCACGAAGUAAGUCAGUACCUUAAGGUUUGAUCUUAGAAACAUCAAAUAAACCAACUGGAGAGUGAUAAUGCCUACCAUACGAUACCUCAAAAAGAUCCACCUUAAUACUGGAAUGAUAGUUAUCAUUAUACUCAAACUCUGCUAAGUCUAGAUGUUUAUCCCACUGGCCUCCAAAGUCUUAUCACACAAGCACGGAACAUAUCUAAGAAUUUUGAAUAGUCUACUCUGACUAACCAUCUGUCUGGAGUGAAAUGUUAUACUAAGAUCAAUCGGGUACCUAACUCCUCCUAAAAAGUCUUCUAAAAGUGAGAUGUAAACACUGAACCUAGAUGUGAGAUGAUAGACACUAGGAGUCCAUGAAGAUGAACUAUCUCAUGACUAUAGAUACAGGCAAACCUCUCAGCAUUGAAGAAAAACUGUACGGGAAUAAAAUGGGCAGAUUUGGUCAAUCUAUCCAUAAUGACCUAAACGUUAUCAAAACCACAAGAUGUGCGAGGUAACCUAGUCAUAAAGUCCAUAGUAAUCUAUUACCAUUUCCACUCAAAAAUGGGUGACUUCUAAAGAAAACCACCAGGUCUCAAAUGCUCGGCCUUUACCUCAUGGCAGCAUAGGCAACGACCUAAAAAAAUUGCUACAUCAUUCCUCAUACCACCCCACCUAUAAUUCUAUCUCAAAUUACAAUGCAUCUUACUCACCCCUAGAUAGAUUGAAUAUUUGGGACAACAAGCCUCCUCAAAAUUAAUCUAACCCGGUCACCCACUCUCGAUACACAAACUCAGCCACUAAUCCACAAAACACCAUCAAGCAAGGCUUCGUUAGCCUUAACCCUCGGUUCCUUAUCCCAAAUCACUCUCAACCCAACAUCAUCAAACUAAUGAGCCUGAAUUUACUUUAUCAAAGAAGAUCUAGCCUCCACGAAUUUUAAAACACACCUACGUGUCCAAAUAUUAAGCCUAACCAUAUGGUUAGCUAAAGACUGAACCUCAAGGACCAAAGGCCUCUCCUAGGUCAAAAAAUGUGCCAAGAUACCCAUGCUACUAGUCUUUCAUCUUAAGGCAUCUGCAACCACAUUAGCCUUGAUGGGACAAUAGAGAAUAGUUAAGUCAUAAUACUUAAGCAACUCAAUCCAAUGGCACUACCUCAUACUAAGAUAUCGAUGGGUGACAAAAUACUGAAGGCUACGAUGAUCCAAGAAAAUCACAUAAUGGACUUAAUAUAAGUAGUGUCUCCACAAUAUUAAAGAAAAAUUAAUCACACACAACUCCAAAUCAUUGGUACGGUAAUUUCUCUCAUGGGGCUUCAACUAAUAAGAAGCAUAAGUAAUCACCUUACCCUUCUACAUUAACACAACACCUAAUCUAAUACCAAAAGAAUCAUCAAAGAUGGUAAAACACACGCCCUUCUUUUAGUACUGUUAAUAUAAGAGCUAUGACAUGACCCAAACUAGGGCCUAGUCGUGUUAGGUAUCUCAAGUCCUACCAGGAUCAGAGACCACCCCCAAUAUCCAAACCAUUAACAUUACUACACCCCAUGUCGGAUGAAUUCCAAACAUAUAAAGAGAUAAGAUAUUGUUAAAUUAAACACAUGAUAAUAAUCUAAAAUCAAAAUUGAAAGCCACAACCAAUUAACCAUCCAAUACCAAUCCCAAUUCUAAUACCAAUAACAAUACUAAGACUAAUACCGAUACCGCCCAUGCCUAUAGUAGUCCAGCAAAGACUCUAACCAGAGUCAAAAAGUAUCCAGUCGGGACAUGCCCCCGACCAAAGCCAAAACCAAAGCCGAAGAAAUAAUAAUGACAAAAGGAAAUCCAUAAUAUGAAUUAGGGUAUUUUUAAGUAUAAAAGCUCACCACUUCAGUCUUACUCAAAAGUUGUCCCCGAAUCACCAAGUCACUGAGCAGAAAGAGUGGUAAUAUGGUUGAUUCCUGCAUCACAUGGGGAUAUAGUCUCUAAAGACGGUUAGUGGGUUGAACGCUAGCAUGUAACUCAGUGAUAAAGAUAAAAUAAUGCCAUCAAUUCAAAAUAAAGUCAAAUAACCAUAUGCAAUAAUAUAUUUACAUAUAUAUUGUGUUGGGUUUAGGAACAAGAUUUAGCAUGCAUUAAAAACCUUAACCUGGAUUAUGUAGAUUUACCAUUAUAAGUCUACCCACGGGCUAUAUGGAUCCAGUGUUGCACCCUGAAUGGGCCCUAAUACGUGUAGCCAUAUAAACUAGAGAUAUCAUAGAAGGUCAGGGAUUCUUGUGUACCCUUCGCCCUCUAUGAUACAUGUAUACAUAUACAAACUUAAAGGAUUCCCUUGUACCCCACAAGCACAUGGUCCUCAAUACCAACCCUCAUGUCGGCAAACUUGAGUUUCCAGUGUCUUUCUAUCAAACUCACACCUUCAAGGCUAGCUAUCACAACCCCCAUUAUUGCCUAAUUAAAAUAUUUUACACAUAACCAAACCACCAAUUUUUAGGAGUCAAUUAUUAAGGCAUUAUAAGGUAGUAUUAUUAGACUGACUAUAGCUGUCAGUUAAUGUCAUUAGCCAACACUUAGGGGAUUCUCGUGUACCUCGCAGACUCCAUUGUUAAAAUCACUUGGGGGAUUUUCGUGUACUUAGUAAGAUUUUCAUUACAUAAUGACUUAGAUGAUUUCAUUGUACCCUACAAGGUUUCCAAAACCAUCCUUAACUAUUUAACCAUUUAAACCAUGUAUUAGUUUCAAGUAAUAAGUCAGACCAAGCACUUUGAGGAUUCCAUAUUACCCCUAAUUCAAAUUCACACCUUUUCCAUAACUACUAACCAGUUCUACAAUAUAGGGUUGGGGUCAAAACCACUUCAAAAGUCAUAACUUUAUAGAAGCUACCAUUAUCAAGUUCAGCCACCAUACCUAUGCACCCACAUGUUCAAAACCAUAUUUAAAACAUGGAAACCCAUAAUUAAACUAUGGGAAAAUAUUACUCAACAUUAAGCAUUCAAACACCCCAACCUUUAUUUCAAAACCAUAACAAUGCCAUGAAAUCCAUAGAUUAAAACAUGUUUUUUAAAUAAAAUAACAAUGAGAGAAGAGUAACAUGCCUGAAAUACCAAGGAAUUUGGAAAUGAUUGCACCCUUAGAACCCUAGAUGACUACUUUCUUUAAAACCCUAGCCUUAGCUUUAAUAGAGAGUUUGAGAGAGAAUUUGAAGUAUUUUAUUAGGAAUGAUGUGUUAAUGCAGUCCCAUGGAAGGUGUUAAGUCUUGUUAUCAAAAGGACUUUAAGUGGGAAAUGUCCAGAAUACCCUCAUCGUAAAAGCAGUAAAAAGCAUUCUUUGGUUACGAGUCGACCCAUUAACUCAUCACCACAUCAUACGACUCAUAGCCUUGAGUCGUAUCCUAGAUAGUGAGUUGGACUUCCAUACAGUGUCCACCUUAUGACUCCAUGAUCCCACUCGUAUCCUGACCUAACUACUCACAGGGUCUUGUCGUAACCAACGUUAUACCCGAAUGGGUCAGACAUUGGAGAAUUUAUGACUUUCCUCACGACUCAUAACCUAUCCUUAUGGAUCCUAGUGAGCCACUGGUACUUAUAGCAGUGUCAAGACACUAAGUUACUAAUUUGGUUAAGAUUCAUUAUAAUGACUCAUCACCAUCCUUAACAACUCAUACCAUAAGUCGUAACCAAGAUAGAAAACCCAACCACCAUUCAUUGGACACCUUACGACUAGGGUCACCUGACCUAUCAAGAUACCAUAUGACUUAUACGGUUAAGUCGUAAUCAAGGCACUGAGCUCAAAGCUCAAGAAAUUUCAAAGGCCCAGAAUCUAGGGUGUUUUAAGAUAAAUCGACAAAUCAUUAAGCUUUGGAAAGGUCGCCUCACAAGCAUCAGAGAACUUAGCUCAAAAGGAGAAGCAGGUCUAGCCUAACUAAGAACCGCUACAAUCUUGAUCAGAUUAACCAUAAUACCAUCAUUGGUCACCAUAAGAACCAAGAAAGAGACUGACUCUAAUCAAAGAUCAUACUUAGAGAACUUAGCAUACAACUUUUCAUCCCUCAAUCUAUGGAGCACAAUCCAUAAAUACUACUUAGGAUUAAUCUCACUCUUGGAAUAAAUCAAGAUAUCAUCUAUAAAUACAAUAAUAAAGAUUUAAGAUCCAAAGAAAAUAUGCAUUUUAUCAACUCCAUGAAUGUGGCAGGGGCAAUAGUCAACCCAAAGGACAUGACUAAGAACUCAUGAUGAUCAUAUCGAGUCUGAAAAGUUAUCUUCAAAAAAUCCAAAGCUCUAAUCCUCAAUUGUGAUACCCGGACCACAAAUCAAUCUUUAAAAACCCUAAAUCACCAUAACCUUGAUUAAAUAAAUCAUCAAUAUAAGGAAGAGGAUACCUAUUCUUAACCUUUAACUUGUUUAACUACUGAUAAUCAAUGCACAUACACAUAGACCCAUUCCUUUUCUUCACAAACAAAACAUGUGCACCCCUAGGUAAUACACUAGGUUGGAUGAAUCCUUUAUCCAGCAACUCCUGCAGUUGUUCCUUUAAUUCUUGUAGCUCGAUUAGGGCUAUCCUAUAAGGAAAAAUAGAAAUAGGGUUUGUUCUCGGCUCCACGUCAAUGGAAAAGUCAAUCACUAUCCAGAGGCAUUCAAGGAAAAUCCAUAGAAAUACAUUUAUGAACUCAUGGAUAAUACGAACAAAAUCCAAUGAGAGAGGGGUAGCAAUACUAGCGUCAUGAAUAUGAGCCAAAUAAGACAAAUAACCUCUCUCAACCAAGUGACAAGCCUAAAUAUAAGAUAUAACUCUCUAAGGACCCAAAUGAAGUGUACCAUUCCAAGAUAUCCUUCUCCCUCCUAAUGAAAAUAUAGUCACGAUCUUAGCAUAAUAAUCUAGGACUGCAGGAUAAAGAUCAAACCAAUCCAUAUCCAAAAUGAGGUCGAAAUCAACCAUAUCUAAGACAAGCAAAUCUACCCAAGUCUCAUGCCCAAAAAAAUUCACAACACAGGAUUUGUACACCCAAUCAACCAUGAAAGAGUCUCUUACAAGGGUUAAUAAAUGAAUAGGCAUGGCAAAAAGCUCACUAAAUAAAUCAAACCCUAAAGCAAAAUAUGUAGACACAUAGGGGAAAGUAAACCCUAGAUUAAACAACACAAAUGCAGAUCUAAAAAAAAUAAGCAUAAUAUCUAUGAUGACAGCAUCGGAGGCCUCUUCCUCUGGCCUAGCAGGUAUAGCAUAGCACUGACCACGUCCACCUCCUGGUUGAGUAUUCUCGCAACCACUACCACAGGCACCACUACCUCUACCUCUCACACCUAUAGUAGAACCUUUACCUCUUAUGGGGUAUAUAGGAAAGGCUCUAAAGAAUAUUGGUGACAGUCUUUGGCCAUAUGUCUAGUCUCAUUACACACACAGCAAACCCUGUAUCCCGACUCAGAUAAAGGAGGUACUAAUGAACUAGGCCAACACCCUAAAGCCUGUAGACUAGAAUACCUACUACCUAAACUUUGUAAGGAUACCUACACUGGUCUGCCAUAAUAGGAACAAAAGCCUCUAGAAUCUCUACUCUGAGAGAUGUGACCUCUAAACUUACCCAAAAAGUGCACCUUCUUGGUGUCUCCUUGAGAUGCUUAAACAAUGGACUCAGUCAACUUAGUAUAAUACAUAAUACUAUAAUACGAUGCUCUAUACACCACCAUCUAACUCAUAGAAAGCUGAAGAGAGACAUCUAAUCCCUUUAUAUACUUUUGAAUCUUGUCAGACUCUAUGGUAAUAAUAGCAUAAGAAUAUCUAUACAAGGCAUAGAAUUAUACCUCCCACUUGAUCAAACUUAUAUCUCAUCUGAUCCUUCAAAUAAAAAGGCAUAAAUCUAUCCAAAAAGACUUCUAUUAACGAAUCCCGAGUCAUCUCUGGUGAACCAAAAGGUCGGCAACCAAUAAAUGACCGCCACCAAUCCCUAGAUGCGUCUCUUAAUUGUUAAAUAGUAUAAGCAACCUCAUGCAACUCGAGCGAACUAAGAUUAUGCAACAUCUCCUGACAAUCCAUAAAGAACUCAUAGGCAUCCUCGCCUACAACACCAUCAAACCUAAGAGGACCCAAAUGAGUAAAUCUUUGAAACCUCUUCUAAUCCUCAAAUAACAUAGUUGUACCCACAAUAUAGGAGGCAUAGUAAAUUUGGUUGGCAUAUCACAUAUUUAAAGAGGCCUAAUAGAAGAAGUAUAAACUCUACAUAUUGGAACACCAUACUCUGAUAUGGGUUCUAAAGGAGGAAUUUCACUCAAAGUAUGUGGAGUACCAUAAGCAGAUAUUGGUAUAAUCGGAAGAUUGAUACUUGGAACCGAAGAAAAACCAUAAGCAAACUCUAGCACAGGCAGGGGUACUAUACUCGGAGCUGGAGGAACACCAGGUGCAUCCAAGGGAGCACCCUCCAACUAAGUUAGCAAGGAAACAAGUAACCCCUUCAAGAUUAGGGUGAAAGAACUCAGCAGAAUUGAAGAGGGACCACAAUAUACAAUAUACUCAUAUCAAGGCUUAAAGGAGAGAUCUAUAGUGCUAUCAUUGGAUGGGUCAUAUCUUCGUGCUCGUUCUCCACGUCGAGCAUAACCACGACUAGAAACUUGCCAUUUAGACUAGGAUCUCGCCUUAGAUAAAAAAUUUGAAUCUCUAGCCUCACUAGAUCUAGUCCUUACUAUCUAUACAGAAAAAGAGUAAACUUUGACUUAGAACUUAAGGCAUGAGCGAUCUGCAUGAUAUAGGAGAAAAUAAGAAAAGUUUCCUUAAGAUACCUUAUAGCCUUUAAAAGAUAGAUAUAGACAUUUAUAUAUUGAUUUGCAAGACUCAAUUAGACACCUCAUUCUUACACUAUUAAGACCAAUAAAAACCUAGUUUUCUAAUACCAAUUCGUCAUAGGCUAAAAACCAAGGGUCAUGAUGGCACAUGUCAUAGCAAGACUUGACAAGUAAGACCAUCACCCAAACUGAUAUAAAUAAGAAAACAAUAUCAAAACCAAGGCAAGACCCCUAGAAUAGAGCUGAAUCACAAGUAUAUAUGGUAAAAAAGAAAUAUAAUCAAUAUACCAAUUAAAUCCUAAAAUUUAUUGUCAAAUUGUAAGAGCUAACUAGUUCAACUUAGGUUCAAAAGUACAUAAGAAAUCCAAUAAGAGCAAAACUCUGUCUUUGAAUAAGAGUAAGACAUAUCUAGAUAAGAAAAGGUAUAAGUCAACUCUGAAUGCAUAGGUCAACUGCUACCUCAAAUGGAUGCCAAGUAUCACUUGAAUCAACUAUCUGUGUGACGCACUCAUACUAGGAUCUUCACUAUAAGGUGCUAUAGGGAUGAACAUGGUCCACUUGAAAUCAGUAGGUAUCAUAUGUAGACCGAGUAAAGUAGAAAAUAAAGUAUAUAAACACAAAGUAUGGGCACAUUACCUGCAUUCAAAAAAUGUCCAAAAUGUUAUCCAACACCAUCUCCAUUGAUAGUUCUACUAUACACACAUAUAUACAAAAAUAUGCAGAUAAGAGAAGAACAAAUAUACACAUACAUCAAAUACAGAUAUAGGAAGAAAGUACCAAUGGUAUAUAUCAAGUCAAAGAGAGAAAUACCAUAGUGUAAGCCCAAUAUCUAAAGUGCAAUAAAGAUAAUAAUAAUGACAAUGAUGAUGAUGUACGAGGUCAUCAAACAACCUCUAUAUACACCUACAGAGUUAAAGAUUCUCGAUAUAUGACCCAUGAAGAGUUCGUCAAACCAUAUACAACUAAUAUCCAAUACCAAUAUCCAUAUCUCCUCUCCAAAAUAUACAUUGGUAGAGGGUUUUAAAGAUGUCAUAUUUUCUGUCAGAAAAAGUCAAUGUUUCCAAUGUUUCCAGUAUUUCCACAAUGGCACUAAUAUUUAAUGAAUGAAUAUAAUGUGAGGAUGUAAUUCUCACAACCGACCAAAGUGAGAAUAUCUAAUAUCCAACCAAUAUACCAACAAUGUGAGCCAAAAAUCCUCUUGAAUCAACCAACCAUCCAUGAUCCAGUAUAAUCUAGAAACCAUCAAGUAAAACACAUAAAAAAUGUCAUUGACACCACAUAAAUCCCAAAAUCUAGGCUUUACCACAAAAAAGAGUACAACCAAACAUACAUAUAUCUAUAUUUGGCCAACAAAAUAAUAUAAGUUCCCACAGGACCACAUAACAAAUAAUCUUAAAACCACCAAAUACUAUCCACAAAGGCCCUCACAUGGGCACAUGAAUCACCUCAAUAUAUUUUCCAUGAUAUAAUCCCAGACCCAUAGCAUUAUUUUACAUUAUUAGUAACCACUCAACCCAGUCUAGAUAAAGUUAAGCCAAGCCUACAUCAACAUCUGAAAAUAGUACAAAAAGCCUUCAACAUAAUGCUUUUCCCAAGUGAACGUACCCAAAACCAACAAAAAUAUUCAAAUAUAGAAUCUAUGAAUCAAAAACACCAAUGAUAUCCAUAUUACGUAUUUUGAGUCAGGGUCAAAAUUGACCCCAAAAAUAAAUUUUCAAAAAAGAAGGGUAAAUCGAAAGUUUAGUCUAAAAAUAUAUUUCUCAUGAGUAAAAAAAUCAUAGAAGAAAACCCAAGUGAAAAUGCAUUGAAAUUAGGGUUUAGAUAGAAGAAAUAUAAUUUUGAGGCCUUUUGAGCCAAAAUCCCCAAAUUUCACUUUUAAAUCCGCAUUUAAACAAGAUUUAAAUGAUAAAGUUGAAGAAAAAUAGUUGAAAUAAUGUUUGGAGAUAACCCAAUCUUAGAAAUGGAAGAAACUUCUCAAAAGCAUGAAACCCAAGCCUCAAAGUCUCAAAAAUAGUGAAUAAAAAGGUAAAAGGGGGUAUUUAAUUAACCCAGGCAUCGCAUACGUGAUCGCCGGGUAGCUUAAGAGCUUAUAACUUUAGCGACCAGGUGUCGUGUAUGUGAUACCCUUCCUAUGAGAAGGUGUCUUAUAAGUAAUCCUAUUUUAACUCAUAUGAUGGUUGUGUACGCAACAUAGAAGUCGUGUAAGCAAUAUUUUGCUGCAUGGCUGGGUUGCUUCUGGGAGUGCCCCAGCUGAGUGGUGCACUAGCUAGAGACUUUGAGAAUUUCAAGUUUUUGUGGACCAUUUAGGAUCCAUUCAAAAUUUAGAGAAUGCAAACAAACUAUGCUACCCUGCAAAAUUCGAUGCUCCGGACUCAGUGAUGAUAUUAGAUUUUCAGGAAAAUGUUGUUCUUACAAAGUUGGCCCCUAAUAUCCAAUUUAACAACAUUUCAAACCAAGUGUCGAAAUGAGUUAUAGAAGCCAUAAAACCAAACAAACCAUGUUACCAACCUGAAAUCAAAGUUUUGGACCUGCAGGAACAGUCUGUUUUGCCAUCCAAUGUACAGAUCAAUAAAUAUUGACUAAAGUUAACUAUAACAUUUUUUAAGCUAUCAAAAACCAUAAUUUUAUAUAUUUCAUGCCGAAAUGCAUUGGAAAUCAUGUCAAACAUACCCACACCCCAAAAAUACCACCAAGUAACUAAAAUAAGCGGUAAAAUAGUCUAAUACAUAGAAAUGAAUAUUUCACUAAAAUUAAGUCAUUAUAUUGUCUCUUCAGUUAUAGUGCACCAAUGAAUUUUGAUGAAGAUGUAAUAGAUAAAAGGUGGAGACAAACCAUUGAGAAGGAAAUCCAAUCAAUAAAGAAGAACAAUAGUUGUGAGUUAACAACUCUUCCCAAGAAUCAUCAUGAAAUUAGAGUAAAAUAGGUUUCCAAGGAGAAGAAGAAUGCUCAUGGAGAAGUAGAGAGAUAUAAGACAAAACUUGUGUCUAACUUAUUUAAACAAAGGCAUGGCAUUAGCUAUAAUAAAGUUUGUACAUCUGUUGCCCACAUGGAGAUGAUUUAUCUGUUGAUCUCUUUAGUGGUGCAAAGAAAGUGGAAAAUACAUCAAUUAGAUAUCAAAUAGGCAUUAUAGAAUGGAUAUCUUGAAGAAAAUUCUAUUUGAAAACAUUAGGAUUUGUUGUCAAGAAUCUUAAAGAUAAGGUGUUGAGGUUGAAGAAAGUGUUAUAUGGAUUAAAUAAAGCUCCAUCGGCUUGGAAUAGUCACAUCGAUUAGUACUAUAAAGAUAAUGGUUUUACUCAUUGUCUCCAUGCGUAUGUUGUGUACAUUAAAGUUCAUAUCAGUGGAGACUUUCGGCUAAUUUUUCCUUUUGCUUAUGAUCUUAUUCUAACGGGUAAUAACCCAUGUUUGUUUGAAGGUUUUAAGAAAUCUAUGUCCCUUGAGUUUGAGAGGAUGAACAUAGAGAUCAUGUCAUAUUACAUGGGCCUAGAAGUGAAGUAAAUAGAGCAACUUUAUAUCUCUAGAAAGCUUUACAAAGGAGAUUUUGAAGAAGUUCAACAUCUUCGGUUGCAACCCUGUGAACACGUUAAUACAAAGUGGAAAAAAAAUUUUAAAGUUUGAUGAUGGUGAAAAAGUGGACUCCAUUGUUAGCCCAAUGUGGUUUUAGUAAUGAAAAAAUUAAUCCCAAUUAAAUUGCAUGAUGGAUAUAAAAGGAUUUGGGCAAGUAUCUCAUUCAAAAAUAAAAAUCCAUUAAAAAAAAUAAAGAAUCAAAUGAUGUUGAUGGACAAGAAGCAUGAAGGAAGGAUUAUAUUUUGUAUAUUUUACUUUACAAAACAGGAUGUUGAUAUAACGCAAUAAAUAUGGACGCAUUUGAUAUGGAUAUAUGAUGUUAUCUAGGCAUUAAUUUUAUCCCUAGAUGACCAUGCCAAAAUCCCUUAGGUUCCCCAAAAAUACAUUAAGGAAUUAGAUGAAGGAAACUUUAAUUCCUUAAGAUUGAGAAAGAUCAAUCACUGUAGAAAAGAGAUGAUUGAUCAAGAUUUGUUAAUGGCUACAUUUUAUCAAUUCAUGUAUAAAUAUAGCAUAGCAGCCUAGGUUUUCUUUGUACAUCUUCACUUAAGCAAAAAAUUAAGUUACUUCCUAUUCUUAUACAAAUCUUUGUAAUACGUUAUAGUGAAAACAAAAGAGAGAAGAUGCUAAAAGCUAUAAAAGUAGAGGUUGCUGCCAUUCUCAUAAAGCUAACACAUAAAGAUUAGAAGAAAAUUACUUUAUUCAUUCAAGUUCUUCUAAGAGAAACUCUUUUAACGAAAGGAGACUAGAAUAGGCACCAUAAGGGCAAUUCAAACUGGAAUAUAGUCUCCAAUAUCAUUUACCUUAAUUCAAUUUUUUACUUUCUGUUAUUAUUAUAUAUUUUAAAUUAACAUUAUUGUGUAGAUAAGUUGACUAACUGGUCAUUGUAGAUGACUUAAGAUAUAAAAUUUCAAUUCACCCUCUCUUGAUUAUCAAUUGGUAUUAGAGAAUGUCUCAUAAAAUUAUUACUUAAGCACACCGGAGAAAAGAUAAAAUAGAAAAAUAUGGCAUUCUAGGAGCUAUACUCUAAGAUGGGCAUUCAUCCAACAGGCACCCAUACAUCAAUGGACAACACUACUCUAAUUGAAAAAAUAGAUUUAGAAUUUUUGUUCAACCAAUAGAUUUUCAAGGUUGGAUAGUAAUAAAUAAAUGACCCAAACCAAUUCCUGAACUCAAAAACAAAGGAAAGUAAACAGGAAGCACCAUUAGUCUUGAAACCAUUAAGGUCACAAAGGAAUAACAAGAGGUAAUUCUAACUAAUUCUAGAGCAACGUUUGCUUCACUAUGGAGUUAGUGGAUUUGAGUAUGAUAAUAUCUCAACUUCUAAGACAACUAAGAAGAUGUAGGACAAUCUUGAAGUCAUAUAUAAAGGAACAACCAAAGUGAAAGAAUUCAUGAUUGGUGCACUCUUUAGUGAUAGUAGAAUCCAUAUUUUCAUAGUUCAGUUAAAUUUUCUAUGAAGUUAAAUAUCUAGGAAUGACUUAUUCAAAUAGUCUGCAAGUAAAAAAGCUUGUAAGAAGUAUUCUUUAAGGUUAGGAGACAAAGUCAACCAUUAUGAAAGAUUGAAAUCUGCACAAUAUUGAUAUACAAUGAAUUGUGAGGUGAUCUUCUUGCGUAUGAAAAAAAUCAAUCAAUAAGUACAAUAAGGAAGAGAAAAAGAACACUAUAUCCUUCAGCAUCCUAAAUGAAAAAGAAGGAAAUGUGGCUAAAGAAAGAAUUGAAGGUAUGGCUCUCAUAAAUAGUGAAAUAAGGCAUAUUCUGAGACUAAGACAACAGAGACCUCAACAAUACUUCAAGAAUAAUGACUACUAAAGAAAUGGUAAUAGGUGAUAUCAUUGUCGUAAAAUUUCUCAUAGUAAACAAAAUUGAAUUAAAUUAAGAAGGAGAUCAUCAAGGAAAAACAAAAACUCUAGGGUAAAGAGUGAUGAAAAUGAAAUAGAGGACGAUGCUGAAACUACAUGUGAUUCAUGGCCAUAGGAGAAUCAAGCGAGAUAAGACCUUAUAAUUUUCACAACUUUAACAUAUUGUAAUCGAAUCUUGAUAUGAUGGUUGAUGAACUUCAAAAGCUUAUGAACUAAUAUAACAAACUUGCACAAGAAAAGAAAAAUUAGUAAACUCGCUUAAAUGUCAAAAUUGCUUAAGGAAAAAAGACUGGUAGAUUCUCUUAUAAGCAAGUUAUAUAGAAGAUGGCUUGAUUCAAGAAGAACUUGAUGAACUUAAGAUUUAACUUAACAACAUUAGAUAAUCACCAACUCAGAGCUCUAUCAAAUCUAAUAAUUUUAAAAGGAAAUCUACAUGUCAUAAUCUAAAUGGUUUUAAAAUAGAGUGUGAUUCUAACUUGUUUGCUUUUGCUAAAUACUCUUUCUCUUAGUACAAACCUACUUGUUAUACUUAUGGUAAGAAAGGUCAAAACUCAUAUGACUAUAGUAACAGUCUUAUGGAAUAUGGAUUUGAAGACCAAAGAAAACUAUUUUUAACCCUCUUGGACCCAAAAAUACUUAGGUACCUAAGAGUAAAUAAUAUUUUUGUUUUAUAGGAGUACACCAAAAAAAAACCUGCAAGAAAUUUAUAUGGUCAAUCAAGUGGAGGGGGUUCUAGGCAUAAGACAAGAAAGAAGGUUUUAAUUCUAGAAAAGAAAUAAAUGGUGUAUCUAUCAUAUUUGGUGACAAUACCAAAGGAGAAGUUGUGGAAGAUAGAUCUAUUACAAUUAGUCCCUCCUGUGAUCUAACUGAUGUAUACCUGGUGGAAAGAUUCAAACAAAAUUUAUAAGCAUUAUUAAACAAUGAAAUGCUAGAUUUCAAGUAGUAUUCGAUACCAUGAAAUAUGCCAUCUGAAAUACCAAAUGAAAUAUAACCUUUAUUGGUGACUGGGUUAAGAAUAUAUUUUAAAUAAUGUUUAUUUCCAUACUUUAACUUUCCUGACUUCUCAAAUCGGUUAUCCUUGGUUGUGGUAUAGAAAGCUAGGACAUGCAAGUAUGUGUGCUAUCGAAAAAAUCUUGAUACUCUAACUAGUUAAAGGUUUGCCUAAACUUAAGUUUGAAAAAGAUCACAUAUGUGAUGCUUGUCAACUUGGUAUGUAGAAUCAAACAAAAUUCAAAUUCAAAGACAUCGUUAGCAUGUCAAAGCAUCUCUGAGCCAUCCACAUGAAUCUAUUUUGACCAACCAAGACAACCAAUAUUGGUGGGAAUAGAUAUGCAUUUGUUAUUAUUGAUGAAAUCUAAUUAUUUACAUGAGUAAUGUUUCUGGCACGCAAGCUUGAAUAAUUUACUAACUUUGAAAUAUUUUGUAGAACAGUUCAAAGAGAGACAGGAUACUUUAUAUCUAUAAUUCACUGAAACCAUAGAGGAGAAUUUGAGAAUGAAGCCUUUAAAGAUUUUUAUACACUAAAUACUUAUACAUAGAAUUUCUCCCCACCUCACAACAAAAUGGGGUAGUUGAACCAAAGAAUACAUAUCUUCAACAAACUACUAGAACCAUGUUAAUAGAAUAUAGUCUAUUUUACCAUUUCUAGGCAUAAGCAGUAAGCACGGUAUGUCAUAUACUCAACCAAUGUUUGAUCAAGACUAUCCUUAAAAACACUCUACUAUGAGCUUUAAAUAUGGAAAAAGUUGAAUAUCAGCUACAUCCAUUCUUUUGGUUGUAAGUUUUUUAUUCAUAACAAUAGUUAGAAUACUCUAGGAGAAUUUUAUCGUAGAAGUGAUACACUCCCACUAGUUAUGCAUAUAGAGAUUUUAAUAAAAGAACCUUAAGUGUUGAAAAAUUUAUGCAUGAGGUAUUUAAUAAGUCUAAUCCAAUUUCUAUUAGUAUGAGCGUUUAUGAACAACAAAGAAACAAUUCACAAAUCAUGACUACUAUAUAAACUGGACACAUUGAUUUAGAAUCAGCUACAGCAACACAAACCAUGUCAGUUGAUCCUUCAAAAGAAAAUAUUCCCAGGAAAUGGAGACAUAGUGCAAGUAUCCCAAGAUACUUCACCAUUGGCCAUUCAAAUUAUCAAAUACCGCAAGCAUUUUGGGGCCUUGUAUCAUUGACUGAACCUAAAUGUAUUAAAGAAUUCCUUGAAGACAAAUCAUGGAUUUAAGUAAUGAAAGAGUACUUGGAUCAAUUGGAAAGAAAUUAAGUCUGUAACUUAGUAAAACAUCAAAAGAAUUACUCAUUGAUAAGAACCAAAUGUGUCAAAGAAAAUGAAGAAGAUAAAGUUUUUCAACAUAAAGUAAGGUUUGUAUCUCAAGGUUAUUCCCAACAAGAAAGUAUUGAUUAUUAUGAAAAUUGUACCCCCGUUGCAUGGUUAGAAUCUAUCCAUAUUCUUUUAGCUUUUGCCUCUUUCAAACUUUUAACUUACUUCAAAUUGAUGUAAUAAGUGCCUUCUCAAAUAGUUUUAUCAAUGAAGUUUUUUUAAACAACCUCUCAAAUUUUAAAUCCCUCUUGUCCAGACUAUGUUUUCUAACUCUCAAAAGUACUCUAUGGUCUUAAACAAGCUCCAAAAUCUUGGGAUGAGAGAUUAAGCACUUUUCUAUUAAAUAAUAAUUAUCAAAGAGGAAUAUUGAAACCAUCAUAUUUAUUCAACAAUUAGAUUCAAAUAUUUUUAUUGUAUGGAAAAUAUUAUUUUUAGAAGUCCUAACACCUCGAUGUGCGAGAACUUUAUUAAUAUUUUGAAAGGAGAAUUCUAGAUGAGCGUCAUGGGUGAGAUAAUUAUUUUAUUAGGGAUACAAAUUAAUAAGUAAACUUCCAAACCUUUAUAAGUCUGUGCAAAUACUUUGGAUUAUGCAUCAAAUGCUUGGUUAUGAUGUGUCAUAUGAGUUGGUUAUUAUUAUGUGUGAUAACACAAGUGCUAUUAGUAUUUCUAAAAAUAUUGCUCAUUGUUUGAAGGCUAAAGAUAUUGAUAUUAAGCAUCAUUUUAUUAUAUAAUAUGUUGAAAAUAAUGACUUUGUGCUAAAUUUUAUUGAUUCAGAAAUUAGCUUGUCAACAUUUUUACAAAAUCUCUCUUAGAUGAAAGAAUUUUCUUCCUAAGCAAAAGACUCGGCAUUACUAGCUUAGAUGUGUAUUUUUUAAAUAGACACAAACACACACACACAUACAUUAUGUGCGUGUGUGCAUUCAAAAUCCAUUUUAAACUUCUUAAACUUUCCUUAUUAUUUUUCCUUACAUAAUAUUUAUUUCUUUGUGUAUAAAGUGUUGUGUGUUUCUAGAAUUAAACUCCUCCAUUCCCAAACUCACUUUGAUUCCCUUUGUCCAAGACACAUCUAUAUAUCUCUAUUACUCUACCCUCUUAUAUAUCAUCAGUUGAUUCGGAGAAACGACUGCUCAUCUCCCCUUUUUUCUCUCAAUAUACACUUUUUUUUCCUCACUUUGCUUCAAUAAUGUCUACUAUGAUAUCCAUGGCUUGUCUUUCUCAAACCCCAACCAACUUAUCACAAAAAUCUUCUACAAACAUCUACAAUCUCUUUUUGAAUUAUUUUGUGGGAGAAUCUGAUAUUUCUACAAGAAAGAUGUCUACAAGGCGAGUUCUUAGUAUAAAGUCUAUUCUUGUAAGAAACAUCACUCAAAAUCCCAUAAAUCCUUCUCAAGAAGACAUGCAAAAAUUUUUGGGAGUUGAAAAGAAGGAGAAGUUUGAGAAUAUCAAAGGUCUCUCUAUAGCUUCUUGGAGAGUGAUUAAUCUGAAACAACUGAAAGAGUAUCAUUGCCCGAUAAGUGAUGUUUUUAAAGAUCAAAAUUUGAAAUUUUUUCUUCAAGUCUAUGGCCUUAAGGUUUUUAAAGAUCUAGUUCACCUAUUCUAUGUGAAUCUUGAUUUCUCAAAACAUAGUAGAGAACUUGACACCUCAAUUUUGGAUACUAGGAAUGUGUUUAAUGACUUUUUAUUUGCCAAGGUGUUUGAUAUUGAAACUACUGGUUGUGUCCCUAUAUGAAUAAUAUUUUACCAAAUAAGUUUUAAUUCUCUUCCAAAGGGGAUAAAUCCAUCAUUGUUGAAUUUAGGACUGAUUUAUCUAUUUUUGAUCCUUUGUCUCUUUGUUUUACACAUUCAAUUCUUGCUCACAUUAUUGUUGCCACUAUUUUUCCUUGAAAAGUUCCCUAAGCAAUAUAUCUACUAGGGAUUUGCUUGUGUUGUAUUGUCUUAGAAAGAAAUACCACCUAAAUUAGAGUAGGUGGUUCUGAUACAUAUGGUUUUGAGUUCUCAAGACUUUAGCAUUUUGACCAGCCUACAUUAUGGAGCACUUAUCACUCAUAUUCUUCUCUACUCCAUGAUUGAUCUCUCUGUUUUUCUUGUUGUGCAUAUAUAGCUGGUACUUAUAACUCUCAUGACUUCAAAAGCAUGACGUAUGUGCUAGUUGUGUUUCAAUUACAAAAAGGAUUUUAUCAAGGCUCGAGCUACAAAAUAUAAGCCAAAAAGUCCUUAUCUAACUCUAUAACGGUAUUCUAAAAGAGGUAGAAGGAUUAUAAGAGAGGUUGGUGAUCUUGGAGGAUGGCAUGCAUUAUUUGUAGGAAUCAUUGGGUAAAAUAUGACAGGUCAUGAAGAAAACUAGUAUUGUUGUGGGUAAGCUCAGAAUAACAUUGGACAACUUAAAAGGUGAGGGUGUUCACGACAAGUGUACUCCAUGAAAGAUAGAGCCAGCUCUUCCCACAAUGAGCUUGUCAUUACCUUGCAAACUUCUUAUUGUAACUUUUUAAGAAAUGUGCUAAAGUCAUAUGAUGUUUUCUCUGAGAAUAUGAUCAACACCUUAUUUUAUUUAGAAAAACUGAUUUCCUUGUCUUGGUGAUUCAAUAUGGGUGUGUCCAAUCAGACAGUCUUGUUUAGUUAACUUUAUACAUUAUUUUGAUUCCAUCUCUAUUCUUUGGGGUCUAAACUGACCUAAUUUCUUCUGCUCUAGUAUGACAUUUUAUUUUAUUAUUUUUAUAUAUGUUUUUAUGCAUCUUUUCUUUUUUUAUUAGGCCAAAGGGGAAGAAUACAAGUAAAAACAUGCAGCACUAGUUAAGGGGGAGCUAGCAUAACUUGAAAGGGAGCAAACCUAUUUCAGAGAUGUUAAGGGAAGUGAAAUUAUGUGAAAUAUUUUUGCUAUUGUAAUUAUUAAAAAUGGUGAGAUUGUUAUCACCAUGUGGUUUCAAUAAUGACAAAAUUAAUUCCUAUUAAAUUGCAAGAUGAAUAUGGUAGGAGUUGGACAAGUUAUUUAUUUGAAAAGAAAAGUCCUUAGAAAAAGAAAAGAAUCAGAUCAGGUUGAUGGACUUGAAGAAUGAAAGAAAGGAGUUUAUUUUGUAUAUUCUGAUUUGCAAAAUAAGAUGCCAACAUAAGUCAAGAAAUAUGGGUGUAUCUGAUACAAACAUAUGACAUUAUCUAGGAAUUAAUUUUAUCCCUAGAUAACUACACAAAAGUCCCUUGAGUUCCCCAAAGUAAUAGAGUAAGGAGUUAUAAAAAGAAAAUUCUAAUUCCCUCAAAUUGAGGAAUCUCAAUUAGGCAACAAAGAGGAGAUUGAUCAAGAUUCUAUAACGGUUACUUUCUUCUAAUUCAUGUAUAAAUAUAGCAUAGAAACCUAGGUUUUCUUUCUACAUCUUCACUUAAGAAAAAAACUCUACCUACUUCUUAUUCUUAUACAAAUUAUUGCAAUACGUUAUAGUAAAAGCAAAAGAAAAGAGCCUAAAAGCUAUACAAGUAGAGGAUACUACCAUUCUCAUGAAGUUAACCCAUAAUUCUUGUGAGAAAAAUACUGUAAUCAUUCAAGUUACGCUAAGGGAACCUCUUAUAACCCAAGUAGAUUGAAAGUAGGCACCACAAAGGUAUUUCAAACCAGGAUAAAUUGUUGUGUCAUGUACUUAUUUCUAUUAUUUACUUUAUGUUAUUAUUUUAUUUCUUGAACUAACAUUGUUGUGAAGAAAAGUUGACAAAUUGGUCAUUGUAAUUGACUUAAUGUAUACAAUUUUAGUUUACCCCUCCCCCUCCCCUCUUAAUUAUCAUCCACUCUUUUUAAAAGUAUUGUUGAAGUUUGAGGUACUUGACCUGUACGAGACAAGAUAUACUCUUUGCAGUCAGAGUAGUUAGUCACUUCAUGAAAGCUCCUACCUCCACUCACUUAAUGGUCACUAGAAGAAUUAUUCGUUACGUUAAAGGUACAAUUAUUAACCUUGGGAUAUUUUAUUCAUCCUCUAAUGAGUUUGACCUUAUGGGAAUUUUUAUAACGAUUAUACAGGAAAUGAGGUUGGUAGAAAAAGUACAUUAAAUUUUGUGUUUUUCUUAGGUGAUUUUGUUGUUUCUUGGAUCUCAAAGAAACAAUUCAUUUUGACACUCUUGACUUACGACACUGAAUAUGUGGUAGAAUCAUCCUAUACAUGUUAUGCGAUUUGGCUAAGAAGAUUGCUAAAGGAGCUCGAUUUAUCAUAAGUUAAAGCCACAAUGAUUUAUGGUGAUAACAAAUCUACAUAGGAUGUUGCCAAGAAUAUAGUAUAUCAUGAUUGAAGUAACCACAUAGAUAGAAGGUACCACUUUAUUAGAAAAUGUAUUGCCAAAAAGGAGGUAGAACUCAAGUUUGUAAAAUCUCAUAAUCAAGUUGUUGAUAUCUUUACAAAGCCUCUCAAAUUUGAAGACUCUCAAAUAUUAAGAUCAAGAUUUAGGAUGAAAAAAUAAAAAAUAAGGGAAAGAUUUUUGAGACCAUUAAGUAAAUAUAAUAAAAGAAAUAAAAUGAAUAAAAAUAAAAAAUAAAAUUAUGAGCAGCAGUAGAAGUUGAAAGACAAGUUGUUAUAUUUGUUUUUCAGUGGCCGCAUAUCUUGGAAAUUGCAACUUUGAAAAUUUAAGAAAUCCAAUAUUUUUAUUGGUUAGAUUUUAAAGAAAGUUUUCCUAUAAAAGAAGGCCUUUGUUCGUUCAAUCGAAGCACACCUAUUUUUUAUUCUAUGAGAAAUAGUGUGAGAGUAAUAUUUUAGUGACUUGUGUGAAAUGAAAAAGUGAUAGUUAUUUUAUAAGAGUGAUAGUCUUUUGACAUUGUCAAAUUGUAACUAAUGGUAUUGUAUUACUCCAUUUGAAUAUUAUGUUUACCCCAAAAAUAACAAAUUUUAGUAGAUGAAUUAUAUGUUCCUAACAAAAGUUAAUUAACCCUACCCCGAAAAAACCCUAAUUAUUCAUCCGGCUGCCAUGGCCUCCACCUCUUCCGGUGGGCUUAAACCACUGGAGGAGUAGUCUCACAUGAAUGUCGAUGCUAAUGUUGUUCAAAGUACUAAUUGAUGUUAUAGGAAGAACCUAGUAUCACAUGGAAAAGUUUAGAGAUACAACACUUGAUUGUAUAAGAAAAUUUACAAUAUUAUAUAGUUGGUAAAUUUUCAUGUGGUAAACCCGAUAUGAAUGAACCUCGCAAGGUUAUUCCAGGUCAAUGUGGUAUAAAAGGAGAUUGCACAAUCGGUGUUCUUGAUGCUAGACAUAUUUUAAUUUGUUUAGAAGUUCUUGAAGACUAUGUUACGCUUUUAUCAACGUCAGCAUAUUAUAUCAAGGCUAAGAAUAAAUAUUAGCAGAUGAGAAUAUUGCUAUGGGACCCCUGGUUUGAACCUGAUAUUGAAAUAUCAAUAAGGGUAGCUUGGAUUUCAAUGUAAGAUUUACCUCCAAAUUUCUUUGCAAAAGAGGUUGUCUUUUCUAUAGCAUCAGCUAUCGGGAAACCUUUGACAGUAGACAUGGCAAUGAGAAAUAAAAUAUAACCUAGUUGUUCUAAGGUCAAAGUCGAGGUGGAUUUGGUAGUUAAACUUCCACAAAGAGUAUGAAUUAAUGAAAAAAUUGACAUAACAGGUGCAAUUAAACCGAAAUGGGUAGCAAUGCAAUAUGAUCAUAUGCCCAAGUACUGUAAAGAGUGUUGUUUGCAGGAGCAUGAUAAGAAUAGUUGUUGGAACAUUUAUCCUGAGUUGUAUGAAAAUACAGGAGACAAAUAGUUACCAGAACAAAUUCAAGGAAAUAAAGAUGGUGCAACCUGUAAUGUUGAAAAGGAAGUAUUAGCAAAAAUCAGCAAUAAUGAAAGAACAAACAAUAAGUUGCAAUGGCAUACAAGGAGGAAUAAAUACAAAAAAGACAAAUAUGGGCACAUAACAGGUGAAGUUGGGAAAGAUGCAGUUGAAAAUGUUCCAAUUAAUAAUAAUUUGACAUCUUUAUAACAAGAAGAGGAGAAUGAGGAGAGGCAAGAUAAAUAACACAUGGAAUAUAUGCAAAAGGAGGAUAAGGAGCAGAAUCAAAGCACCAAAUAAGGGGUUACAAAUACUUUUGGUGUUGAACAAGGAGUAAAGAAUACGAACAAAAAUACUAGCCCCAAGCAGAGGCAAGUUCAGGGGAAAGGAAUAUAGACUCAUGUAGAUGGAGAGCAGAAACAAUAAUUAAUGGAACUAGCACUUGUUGAACAUUCUAAUGAAUCAGAAAAAGUAGAGGAAGGAGUAGUAUACUACCUUUGGCCAUACAGGCUAAUCACCAAAUGGAAUUGGCAAACAAGGACAAAGAAUCCUUGGAUAAGGGAGAUUUAGAAGACAAUAUUGAUAGAGUGACCAUUGAGGGAGGAUUAUGUCCAAAGAAAAUUGACACAAUUAAAUCAGCAGCUGGGAAAAAGAAGAAAAAGCACAACAAAGCAAGUGCUAACACAAUGCUUACCAGAAGUCAAUCUAAAAAUAACUUAGUAUGAAAGCAUUAUUGUGGAACAUAAGAUUAGUUAAUACAAAGAAAGCUUUUUCAAGACUGAUCUCAAUGCAAAAAAGACACCAUUUCCUCUUUAUUGGUCUCAUGGAAACUUUUCAUGAUGCCAACAUAAUUAAGGAGUACAGAACCAGAUUAGGUAUGCAGCAAGUAGUAAGUAAUUCCUCUGGAAAAAUAUAGGCUUUUUGCGAUGGAGGAGUCCAAUGUAAUGUGGUAAAAGAUGAAGAGCAGAAAUUAACUUUGAAGAUUUUUACUUAAGAAGAAGGAACUGGAGUAGUAGUUACUAAGUGUACAAAUCAGGAAAGGAUGGCAUUAUGGGAAUCUCUAGCAGAUAUGGCUCAAUCUAUGAAUAAAUCAUGGAUGGUUGGGGGAGAUUUCAAUGUAGUAACUAGCAAUGAAGAAAAACUUAGAGGCUUAUCUAUUACAGUAGCAGAUACAACUGAUUUUAAUCACUAUAUUAGUAUUUGUAAUUUAGAAGACCCAGGUUUUAAAAGGAGUAAGUUUACAUGGAGGAAUGGGAGAUUGGAUGAGGCUUGUAUAUUUGAGAGGCUAGACAGAGUAUUAUGGAAUAACAAACUGCAAAAUUUGCUCCAAGUACUAAAAGUAGAGCAUUUGCCUAAAAGUGGAUCAGAUCAAACUCCUUUACUAUUGCAGAUGUAUAAUCCUCAGGAAAAAAGAUCAUUAAAUCUUUUAGAUUUCUAAACUUUUGGCUAAAGGAUGAGACUUGUUUAGAGCUAAUUAGGCAGAAUUAGACAAUAGAAGUGUAGGGUAAUCCAUCUAUCAUGUUUUAUCACAAGUUGAAGAAAACUAGUAAAGCAUUAACUCAGUGGAGUAAAGAGAGAUUUGAUAAUAUUUUUCGAGAAAUUUCAUCUCUUGAGGAAGCUAUUAAAGUAUUAGAGGUCCAAUUUGAAUAGAAUCCAACUGGAGAUAAUAGAAAUAAAUUAUUCAAAGUGCAGGUAGACCUGAAUAUGCAACUCAGAAGGGAGAAGGACUUUUGAAAACAAAAGUCAGGAUUUGAGUAGUUUAAGGAUGCUAGGAGGAACACUAAAUUUUUCCAAAUUAUUAUAAGAUUUAGAAGAAACAGGCUGAAGGUAAAUAGAAUUCAAAAUGAAGAAGUGGAGUGGAUGGAUAAUCAGGUAGACAUCUCUGAGGCUGUAGUCAGAUUUUUUUGAAAAGCAAUUUACCAAAGGGUAGCAAUGUGAAGACUUCUCUAUUUUGAAGGAAAUACCAUAGGUAAUUGAUUCUAAUCAAAACAAAGAGUAGAUUGUAUAUCCAACAAUGCAGAAAGACAAAGAAGUUGGAAUGGGUCUUAGCAGAAAUAGUGCAGGAGGGCCAGAUGGUAUGACUGGAUCAUUUUAUCAAGAUUCUUGGGAAAUUAUUAGGAAUGACAAUUAAGAUGUGGUAAAUAUAUUUUUGGUGGAUAUGAACUGCCCAAGUUUAUUACCCACACAAAUUUAGUAAUGUUACCAAAGAAGUUGGUGCUUAACACUUUUUCUGACUUUAGACCAAUUUCUCUAUAUAAUUUUAUCAACAAGAUAUUUCCAAGAAUCAUAAAUGAUAGAAUUAAGAAGUUGUUGCCAUGGAUUAUCUCAGAAGAGCAAGCUGGUUUUAUAAAUAGGAGUAUAGCAGAGAAUAUUCUAGUGGUACAGGAGAUUAUGUCAAAAAUUAAUAAAAGACAUAAGCCUCCUAACAUAGUCUUAAAGCUGGAUAUGAUAAAAGAUAUGAUAGGGUAGAAUUGAUUUUCUUGACAAAAGUCAUGAGAAAAAUAGGUUUUGGAGAAGUUAUUAUAGAAUUGGUGUAUAGGCUGUUGAGUAAUAAUUGGUAUUUAAUCCUUUUAAAUAGUCAACCUAAGGGGUUCUUUAGACCUACUAGAGGUUUGAAACAAUGAGAUCCUCUGUCACCAACUCUUUUUAUUAUUGCAACUGAGGUAAUGUCCAGGUCUCUUAAUAAGUUAUUGUUGAAUAAAGAGUUCAAAACUUUUGGGAUUCCUAGAGGAAGUUCUAAAUUGAAUAAUUUAGCUUUUCAUGAUGAUAUGAUUAUUUUAUGCAAGGCAAAUAUCAAUACUUUGAGAUUGUUGACAGAAAAUUUAGAGAAGUAUGAGAGAGCUUCAGCACAUAGGAUCAAUAAUGAUAAGAGUCCUAUAUAUUUGCAUAAAAAUAUGUCUUAUGGGGUAGCGGCUAUGGCAGAGGUGAUAACGGGAAUAAUGAGGAAUGAUUUCCCUUUUACUUACCUUGGUUGUCCUAUUUCCAUAUGAGAAAGAAGAAAGAUUACUAUCAGGGGUUGAUGAAUAGAAUAAGUGGUACUUGCUAUGUUGGAAGGGUAAGUUACUAUCAUAUGGGGGAAGGGCCAUUUUGAUUAAACAUGUUCUUCAGAGUAUUCCAGUUCACUGUUUAGCAAUAAUGAAUCCCCCAAUGAAUGUAGUGAAUCAAAUACUGGGGAUUCUUGCUCAAUUUUUUGGAGCAGCUACAUAGGGGGUAACAGUAAACAUUAGGUAAAGUGGCAAGAUAUAUGUGUACCUGAGGAAGAAGGGGGGUUAGGCUUUAGAUUGUUAAAACAUAUUUCUAUGGCUUUAUUUUGCAAACUAUGGUGGAACUUCAUAACCAAAAAGUCUAUUUGGGUGGACUAUAUGCAUAAUAAGUAUUGUUAGAAAUAACAUCCUAAUAUGAUUCUGUGCAAGAAAAUAGCUGGGGGUUCACAAGUGUGGAAGAAAAUGUUAUAGGCUAGAGAUUUGAUAGAGCAUCAAAUAUUAUGGAAAGUCAGGAUUGUAGAAUCUACCACUUGGUGGGACAACUGGAAAACAUUAGGGAGUCUGUACCAUGUUACAGAAAUUGACUUGAUGUGGGAUGAUAGGUUUCAGAAGCUAAUAACAUUGACAAGGCAAGCAACAUGGAAUGUUACUGUGUUGAAUCAGUUAGUGCCAGGGGAAAUUGUUAAUCACACCCUAGAUAAUGUACAGCCACCAGAUAGGAGUAGGGAAAAUGAUAAACCCAUUUGGAUACUUAAAUCUAAUAGGAAAUUUACUUUUAAGUAUGCCUAGUAGUAUAUUAGGCAGAUGAAGGAAAAGAGUGAAAUUUUCAAGGAUAUGUGGAUAAAAGGGCUACCUUUAAAAUUCUCCUUUCUAAUAUGGAGAAUUUGGAAAGGAAAAAUACCAGUUGAAGAGGGUGUUAGAAAGUGGGGGUGGAAGGCCCUACCAAAUGUUGGUGUUGUACUACCCAUGCUCAAGAUACCAUUUCACAUGUGUUUCUGAUAGCUUCUAUUUCUAACAAGACAUGGUCCUACUUUUCCUAUUUUACAGGUAUAAAUAUACAAGGACUAAACUUUAUGAAGACUGUCAUGGAAUAGUGGAAUACAGAUGUUAGACUCGGAGAUAAAAGUUAUUAUCUAGAUCUCCCUAAAAUUAUUAUUUGGGAGUUGUGGAAAACAAGAAACAAAGGGAAACAUAAAGGGAAGCAGCUAUCUGAGCACAGUGUGUAGCACAACAUCAUUAGAAACAUUAGAUUAUUACUGAAAGUAAGAAAGCCAUACCAAGAAUUUCCUAAUACAUGGCCAGAAAUUUUGAUAGAGUUGGCAAGGCACAAAACAACGAUAAUAGUCAUAAAGGUAAAAUGGGAUUUUUCUCAACAAGAAUGGAUUAUAAUCAAUACAGAUGGAGCCUCUAGGGGGGAAAUUCGGGGGCAAGCUAUUAUGCAUUUUGUGUGAGGGAUUAUAAGGGGAUUUAGGGUAUGCAAAAGGAGAAAUCAUUGAAGAUACUACAAAUAUACAAGUAGGAGUAGAAGCUAUACUACAAGUAGCAUUACAUUGUAACAAGGCACAUAUUAGAAAAGUAGUCAUACAAACUGACUCUUUCAGCAUACUAAAGUUUUUAAAACAACAACAGUGUCCAUGGAGCAUAGAGGAUAAAGUAAAUCAAACAUGGAAGUUAUUGCAACAUAUAACAGUCCAGUAUCAGCACAUUCUGAGAGAAGGGAAAAAAUUGGUUGAUUACUUUGCUAAUUAUGCAUUUGAAGUAAAGGAAUUCACAUUCAUAAGCUUUCAACGGAUGCAAAAAACUAGAAAGGAAAUACUCAACAGUGAUAAAUCUUAGAUACCAUAGUUGAGAUUGUCACCUCAAAAAGGGUGAAAACAUAGAUCAAGCAAUUCUAAUAUACAGAAGCUUAUAUAAGUAAUCUAUUGCUUAGGCUACUAUACACAAGAAUACAAAGGUUCUAUCAGUAAAAAGAAAGUGGAUCUAUGGCAACCUAUGACCUAAGUGAUGGCUUUAAUCCAAAGGCUAGUAGAUAUCUACUCUGGUAUCUUUUUCCUGUCUACUACAAUAUUUAAGGAGAUCAAGUCGAGAAAAGAAAUUAUUACUCACAAGGUAGCUGCCACUUACUUAAGAAAUACAACCAGAUCCAGGAUAAUAGGACCUUUAAGGUGAUCAAAAAUGACUUUUGCUAUUCCAAAUGUCAAAGAUAUCACCUAGAUUUUGGACAGAGGAGGCAAGUCAAUCAAAGAGGAAAGCUAGAACAACAACAUAAAUGGAGAAGUAGCUACAUACAAUUAUAAGUGGAUAUAAGAGCUCAGAGAUAGCUUCCAUGGAAAGGAAUCAAUAACUGGAGCUGAAGAUGGACGCUGUAAAUGGUAGGCGGCAACAUUAAUUCUUAGAUAGAAAAGGUGGAAAAUGUGAAAUGUUUUAGGAAACCCUAUUUCUAAGGGUCUACAUCUCAAACUCGUUUAGG